rnacentral:rRNA from 1 species
AACGAACGCUGGCGGCAGGCCUAACACAUGCAAGUCGAGCGAAGCCUUCGGGCUUAGCGGCGGACGGGUGAGUAACGCGUGGGAACGUGCCCUUUGCUACGGAAUAGCCCCGGGAAACUGGGAGUAAUACCGUAUGUGCCCUUCGGGGGAAAGAUUUAUCGGCAAAGGAUCGGCCCGCGUUGGAUUAGGUAGUUGGUGGGGUAAUGGCCUACCAAGCCGACGAUCCAUAGCUGGUUUGAGAGGAUGAUCAGCCACACUGGGACUGAGACACGGCCCAGACUCCUACGGGAGGCAGCAGUGGGGAAUCUUAGACAAUGGGGGAAACCCUGAUCUAGCCAUGCCGCGUGAUCGAUGAAGGCCUUAGGGUUGUAAAGAUCUUUCAGUGGGGAAGAUAAUGACUGUACCCACAGAAGAAGCCCCGGCUAACUCCGUGCCAGCCGCCGCCGUAACAC